rnacentral:rRNA from 1 species
UGGGGAAUAUUGCGCAAUGGGGGCAACCCUGACGCAGCAACGCCGCGUGAUUGAAGAAGGCCUUCGGGUUGUAAAGAUCUUUAAUUAGGGACGAAACAUGACGGUACCUAAAGAAUAAGCUCCGGCUAACUACGUGCCAGCAGCCGCGGUAAUACGUAGGGAGCGAGCGUUAUCCGGAUUUACUGGGUGUAAAGGGCGUGUAGGCGGGACUGCAAGUCAGGUGUGAAAUCCGGGGGCUUAACCCCCGAACUGCACUUGAAACUGUAGUUCUUGAGUGAUGGAGAGGCAGGCGGAAUUCCCAGUGUAGCGGUGAAAUGCGUAGAUAUUGGGAGGAACACCAGUGGCGAAGGCGGCCUGCUGGACAUUAACUGACGCUGAGGCGCGAAAGCGUGGGGAGCAAACAGG